AUGCUCCUCCAUUGUUGGUCUGUUUUAAUUGAAUUGACUGUCAUUCAUCGUUAAUCAUCAAGAUAAAGAUUCCUCCACAUUUCUCAAGGUCCAGACAUCCGCCCCCCUUAUUAAACAGCUGGUGUAUUUUAUUGAUGACAAGUUCCAGAUUCUGUCUGAUAACACAGUAACCUUGAGUUUUAUCAUUGUUUGGCCCAGAAAUGAUAAUUAUAUGAUGUCUUUAUUUCCUGCAGAAGCUCUUAAAAACCAGCCCUGAGUGUUCCUGUGAACUGGAUUAGUUAGAGCCGGGUUCAUACGAGGUCAUGGUCACUCCUCCUCCUCCUCUGAUUUGUAUUUUUCAGUCUCUUAGUCUGAGAAAAAAAGAAUGUGAUGAAUUCUGAUCAUAUUAUCAUUUUCAAACUUGUGAUAAAAUGUUUAAACCAGCUCACAGUUUGUUAGUAAAUUGUCUCUCAGUGAGUGUGCUGUGGAUGACGUGCAGGAUGAGGCCUGAAACACUCAGAGGGGAAGUGCAAACACAGACGUUUCUCCCUGUGUGUCUGUUUUUGUGUCUCAGUGUGCGAUAUUUGACAUAUUUAGACCUCUGACCUCCUCAGCUUGCUGUCCUCUGCAGCUCGGCAGGAUGCUCUGAGAUCUUCAGACCUCAAGAUGGGAGGGAGCACGGUGGAGAAUCUGCUUAGAGAUCUUAAUGUCGCAGUAAUAUUUCUGUAUCCACCACAUGCCGGAGCCUUUGAAGCUUUUAGAGAAGGCGGGACAGGAUUGGGAGAUGAUGAUGGUGAUGGAUUUACAGACAGUGUGUUUUUCAUAACACUCCAAACACCUCUGGUCAACCGUAAAGAAUCAACGGAUCUUCUUCUCUGGAAUAUCUUAAUCUCUCUUGGCAUGUGCGACCAGACAGGACGCCAUGCACGCUCCUACUGCUGCUGCACGCCAUAGAUAUAGUAAAUUUCCGUUAAAUAUGAGUAUAUAAGCACGUGUGUGUCUGGGACAUCUUCUGUUGACGAAAUGCGGUGGCUGGACUCCCUUGGGUGAUCGAUGGCGAUAAAGACAUCAGGCUAAACAGUAUGAAGGAGGGGAACACUAGAAAACCAGCUGCAUUGAAACAUCGUGGUCUGCUGCUCCUUAUCUUCCCUCUUUCCAUUGAAUUAGCUCACUUUCUGCAGAAUUAGAUUAGAUUUUUUUUGAAGACCUACAAUACUCAAGAAAUGUUUAUUUUUUUAAGUGACCGCAAAUUAAAAGUAUAAAUCAAACAAGAACAUAAACAUUACUCAACUGAAAGCUUGAAGCUUUGGUGUGUUUGCUCAAAAAACACGACUCGCUUGUUUAUUGAUAACAAAGAUCAGUCAGAUCUGUUGUUUUCUUUUUACUCCUUCACAGCGUCCAUUAUUUCCAACUAUUACUAAUCAACCACAGGACAGUUUUCCCGUUCUUACUCAGUCCAUCUUAAGCCGAAAGAACUCUGCUUCCAUGAUUUCCAAAAAGACUGUCAGAUUUCGAUUCUUGAGGUCUAGAGGAGUCACCAGCAUUUCUGGAUUAUGGUUUUAUGGUUUUAUGGUUUCCUCUUUACAUGGUAGAGUUCAAACCUGUACUUGUGUGUGCAGAAACAUUCUGAAUUUAUAGACAUUCGAUUUUCUGAAUCUUCAAAUGAUAUCAUGUCGAUGAUAGAUCUACUCAUUUUUGCAAUAAAUGCUGAACAUUAUUCUGAAAUUGUCCAACUCUUUGCUCACACAGUCUCUCACAGAGUAGUGGACUUUUCCUAUUUUCACACCUGAGAGACUCACCCAGGAUUUCCACCGCAUCUGGAACGGCUCCGAUCUGGCCUAUUCCUUUUUUUAGGCGGAUUUCGUGGCGGAUUACAGACAGACGGAAUAGCGAGAACUCACGAGAACCUGCGGAUUCACGUGCAAUCGCGCGAUAACAAGUUGUCUUUAGCCACAUAGGCUAACCAUAUAAGCAGUAGAUCGUGUCCUUCCAGAAGAGAAAAUCUACUUCUAGACCUUCAAAAUCAGCGUCUCCUCAUCCAUGGUGUCAUCGGGGUGAAAUGCUGUCUGAAAAACUUUCACUUGUUCAUCUCCGCUUGUUUUCAUGGUGUGAAAUACGAUCCGCCUGAUUCAUUUUAAAAAGAAGCCUGAUGUUUUAUUGUGUGUCUGUGCCCGACUUUCUUUCCAGCACAGGUUAAUCUGUGCUGAAUUUAUCUGGCAUGCUCCAGCGUCAGGACAAAAUAGAACUCUUGCGAUCAGUUGCGGAGUCCUGCAAUUCACAGCGAAACGAAAAGAAGCCGGUGGAAAAAUGGCACACAUUAACUUGAAUGGUUACAAUCAGCUACGAUCCGCAAAUACGGCCUUUUCAUAGCCAUUUCAGAUGCAGUGGGAAUUGCUGGUCAGCCUUUCUGGAGUACUUCUUCAUACCCGGUCAUGUUAACCACUGGCUGGAAGUUAACCUCAUUAGUUGAGAAAUGUUCCCUUGGUGCUUUUUUAGCAUUACACUACUUUCUUUGAGUACUUUGUUGUCCCUGUCCUGUAUUUUGAAACAUGGUAUUUUGUGUUUAAACAUUGGAUAUUUUGUCUGUUUUGAUUACUUGUCGGGUAAAUAUCAACUUUGUAUUCAUUUUUACCGGAUUACUGGUGAAUAUCUUUCUUAAAAACAGGUUUGAUUUACAGUACUGUUCAGUGGCUUCAAACUAACAAAUAUAUCUGUGGAUUAAUUUCACUCAGCCCUCAUCAAUAAUUGAUCAAAGCUGUUGUCAAUCAUUAGGAUAAUCUGCGUUGAAGACAUUACACCAAGUCUUCGCCUGCCUUCAUUCUGUCUUGUUACCGGUCUUUCGUAAUGUGCGGCACAAACAGUUAUUGUGGCCUCUCCUUGUUUAUUUGAAACAUGUGACCUCUGACCUCUCUCCAACGCUCUUUGUGCCAUAAGUUAGAGCAGCUCUGUGUAUGCGUGGACUGUCACCCGCUGCUUUUAGGGGCCUCUAGACUAAACCACAGCGGUCAUAAAACAGGUAAAAGUAACAGAAAAUGCUGGGCUGCUUUAGAGCGGCUUUAAAUGAAUAACCCUGUGUCCCAAAUCCAAGACCGAGCUGCAGGAGGGACUUUUAGCUUUAUUGUUUUAUUUAUUGUUUUUAGUCAUUUCUUUGUUAAUGUUUCAUCUACUUCCUUCAUUUCUCACCCACUCCAAUCUUUGCUCUGCACAGCUUUGUCAGGCUGUCAUCUCUUAUGAAUCCCGUAAACGCUGGCUUAAGAAAGAGCUCUGUGUUUUCUUGGAUUCCUCUUCAAAAGAUCGGCGUGGUGUUUACAGGUUGGAGAGGGCUGGGCUCAGCGGCGUGGAGCCUGCACUCUUUAAGACGAUGUCUUGUCUGUCACUUGACAGUUGACUGCCGAACAGCUUCGCAAACAGACCCCGUUACAUUUUCCAUUCGAAAAAUCCUCAGCGCGCCAGCAUGAGCCUCUGUCUGUCCAUGUGUGUGUGUGUGUGUGUGUGUGUGUGUGUGUGUGUGUGUGUGUUCGCUGCAGCCAGAUGGGGGUUUUCCUAUAAACAAGUGUACAGGCAGUAUUUAAACAGACUGUGGCACCUGACGCCAUAACACUCCUGACACUCUGUUUAGUGGCCACAGUUGCCAUAAGUCACUUUAGAGGAUUAAGUAAAUAUUUUCAUUCUGACCACGUCCAUGUUUAUUAUAGAACCACAAAACUUCUAAAUCUCCCCAAAUCCACAGUUAGGAAAAUCAUUUAAUAACAAUCCAGCCAGAGUGAAGCAUAGUCAGAACAGAGCUUAUCUUUUUUCAUUGUCUGGAAGUUUAUUUGUGGCUGUUUCAGACAGGCUGCUGACAGCCUUAUUGCAGUGUUUCUUUCAGGCUGUUUUUCUGUAAAGAGAUCCCUCGGUUUCCACACAUGUGGACAUUGACAGUGUUAUUGUAUUAUGUUGUGUGUGGCGCAUGAUGUAGAAACAUCAACCAAGCAGCUUCAAACUGGCUGUGGGGGACAUAAAAAUUAAUAUGAUUAUUGUAUUUAUGGUAUUUUUUAAUGUCAUGAUGCAGCAUAUGUUUUCAGUGGCAGAAAAGUCCGGACGCAUAUUAACUGUUGACAAAUACUACCCCCUCUCACCAGUUAUAGACAUUAUAAAUGACACUUUGGUAACACUUUACAAUAUCCAUAAUUUAUAAAUAGUAAAUAGAUAGUUUAUUUAUGUUUAAUCAUCAUUUAAAAACAACAUGUAGACCAAUUAUAAAUGGCAAAUAUAAAGUUUAUGAAUGUAAGUGAAUAGUUACUUUGUAAAUGUUUAAUAUUUGUUUUUUUUUAACCAUCUAUAAACAUUACUAAGAUGGUUUUUGUAAAGUUGCAACUGAUGUUUGUAAUACUUUGUAAAUGAUCAAUAAGUGGUUUAUAAACCACCUAUAAACAUUACUUAGGGUUAGGGUUAGGUUUUUAAAAUUGUAAAAUUUACAAUUUAUUAAUGGUCUACAUGCUAUUUAUAAAUGAUGAUUAAACAUUAAUAAACUAUCUGCUUACCAUUUAUAAAUGGUCUAUUUACCAUUUAUAAGUUAUGAUUAUUGUAAAGUUUUACCGACACUUAACACAUUUCCAGUGAUAUUGCAAAAAUCCUCAAGUUUGCAUUUAUAAGCCAUGAUAAGGCAUCAUUAUUUUCAGUCUGUUUCAUAACCCGUUAAAAACUCCCGAUAGGAGCUUUAAAUAUAAGGUCUAAAUAAUAAGAAUCUGUUUUUAUCAAUAUUUUACAGAGCCCCAGCCAUAGACUGAAUAUAGAAUGGACGUCAUCUGCCUCCUCGCUGGGUGAAGCCACUCUGAGAACAGCACCCUCUGGUGACUGGUUGCAGUAUAGGUCAUAAACGCCGCCUCCUCCAGCAAAAUGAAUGGAGCUGUGGACAAACUUUAGAAAUCAAUUAUACAGAAUACAUUUUCUCCCCCCUGGCUGCUAUGUUGACAUGUAGAUAGUGAAGACUGGUUUGUGCUCAAGUCCUCUUUUUUCUGUACAGCUCCACGCAAAUGCUGGUUUCAGCAAAUAGGGAAAAUUUAAGAAACACAGAGAGCAAUUUGGCUUCAAAUUGGCAUAAAGACGGGAGGAGGAGCCAUGUUGAACAUACUAUAUACAGUCUCUACCCCAUCUUUGUUGGAGUAGUUAUAGUACUUAAUUUAUUAAAACCAAGUUAACAAAAACACCAUUAUUAGCACUAGUGGACCAUAUCUCUGCGUGUUUUUGUGGGUAAAUUAAAAAGUCUUCAGCAACGCGUCAGCCAGUUGUACUUUAGCUGGAAGAACUAAACAAGUGGACGUGUGUUAUUCCAUCAACUCAUUAUGGUUUUCCAGCCCAAAUGUGCAAAACAAAUGUUAUGAAGCAGAACUCAGGACAGAAUUAUUUGAAAACACUCCCCCCAUAUUGAUUGGAAAAUAAAUUCACAAUCAUCAGUUGGAAGUCCUGGACUCAAACCAACAUAAAUAUUACCGUCCAUGGAAGCCUCCUGUAUGUCUGGCCCGGCUUCAGCUCGCUGGUGGUCGCUCGGAGAGUGUGAGAGAGGCAGGACCAGACUAAAGGAAGGCAAAACAUACCAGAUGUGACCACUCAUUGAACCGUGUAUUAAUGAAAGACGACCAGGUCUGAUGAGGAGAUCCAGUGAAGGUUAAACGUGUGAAUCUUUGGCUCCAAAUAUAAAAACUAACAAACACAGAGAGUAUUGUAAUUCACCAUGAAUUACUGCAAUCUGUGCUCCAGUUUCCAAGUAAAAUAAAACAAACGCUUGAUUACAGUAAAGCUGCUCAUGAAUGCCACUAGAAAUACUUAAAUGACAUUGUUAGAGCACCAGUGUGCUAUAAUGGGAAGAAGACAACAAGAAGCCAACGGCCCACCUCCAGUUUGAAUUACUCCAAAUGUAGUUUAUUUGUAUUUUUACAGCCUGUGCCAUAUCUUAGUCAGUGAGAUGGAUAACCUCGGGGUUUUAUUUCACCAGACGUACGUUUUGCUCCAUCUUUAGACUAUGAUUCAACAGCACUUCAAAUCCAAUAAAACCUCUGAUUGGAUGACAUUAUCUGGUUGUUUUGGUUCUUCGUUUCAAGAAACUCUGGUUUAUGUUUGCAGGUCUCUCCUCUGCCUUUUACAUUUGUUUGUUUUUAUUAAAAGAUGCCCUCUGGGGUCUGUUUUACCCUUUCUCUUAGCGUUUGUUUUAAGGUCUGUGCUCUAUCAUUCAGUUGGUGCUUAUGGCUGUUUCAAUGUGCCCUUUAAUAACUUCUACUAACAGGAUUGAAUAACUUCAGGUACCCUUAUAGCAUCAGUUACAACACAGCCUUGGGCAUCUGUUCUGAAGUUACCUUUUUGGCAUUUAGGACAAUUUACCCUCAAGCAUCUGUAUCAAUUGUGUAUAUGUUUGUGUCUCUAUUGUCGUAGGGUUAAGACCAUAGACUGUGUAUAGAAUGGACGCUGUCUGCCUCCUCUUUGGGUGAAGCCACCGCAAGAACAGCACCCUCUGAUGACUGGUUGCAGUAUAGGUCAUAAAUCCCGCCCCCUCCAGCAAUCCCUAUGGAGCUGUGGACAAACUUAAUUUAUGUAUCUCACAGAAUUUAAAAUUUUCUCCCCCCUGGUUGUGAUGUUGACAUGUAGUUACUGUAAGACUGAUUUGUUCUUAAGUUAAUUUUUAAAAGUUAUUAGGGGCAGCACUGCUCACAGAUUUUUUUUAAGUAAAAUAAAAUGUCAUUUUCACACGUGCCGCCUCACCUAAAGUACUACUAAAUAUGGUAAUAUAAGCCCCCUUUCGCUGGGUUCUCUCUCACUUUACAAAAGUGCAAAAAUGAUGUCAAAUACUAUUUACAAAAUGUACAAGGCAAAAAAAGAAAAUGCCAACAAGGCAGGAGUUCCUCUAUAACUCAAAAAAGAUACACAGCAGCAACAGAAAAGUCAGUUUGGCAGUUGCUGUUAAUGCAACAAACUCUAGUCUCAAAGAAAGGCCCAGGCAGCUUUCUUUUAAACCCCCCCCAGCCCCUCCCAGUGGGCGUUAUUAAAAUAUAAAUUUUUGGGGGAAAACUCAUUUUUCUCAAAUUUAAACAAUUUUUACCAUUUUUAACCUUUAGACCUUUUUCAUGAAUUUUCUGUAAUUUUAAGUUUUUACACAAAUCAAUGGAGCAUUAAUUAUUAGGGAUUUGUGGCAAGCAACAAGGGAAUUAAUUUUUCUUGCAUUAUGUGACCACUUUCACCCUCCAUACCCACCUAUUUUACACCCGGAAGUCGCGCGCUCUGUUUCUCAUUUGGAAACCUGAGCCGGCAUGACGACGAAUAAAUGGACACCCGGCAAGUAAGUGGAGAGAUGAAUGUCUGUGUGAAUGUGUGUUUAAGUUUGAGUUAACUGAUUGAGCUCCAAGUGUGCAACCUUGGUUACCCGAAAAGUAGCGCUGUUUAGUGCGUGCGUGUAUGGCUCCAUGCGCUGCCAGCAGUCAGUGUGGACGCUGCAUCGUCACGUCCGCUAAAAGUUAAACUGCUGUAGUAUUUCUAAUGUUAAAAUAGUAGUAAGAUUUCCACAUUCAUUGACAAAAAAAUGUCUUACAGGAUGGAAAGCAGGGAUGACCGUUUUAGAAGGGGGAUGAUUUUGACCAUUUUCAUUUCAGGGGGGAUGCCAUUCCCCCUCACCCCCCCUCAACUCGAGUACUGAUGAGGGGGUUCAUGUUUUCUAUGAUUGACACUUGAUACAGCCUAUGCAAAAGAGAGCAAUAAGGAUUGUUAAAAAGGUAUGAUUCUUCCAUCAUUCUGAUAAACUGUUUCUGAAAUUAGGAGUAUUAAAAUUUGCCGAUCUAGUUGAAUUUAGAACUGCACAGACAAUGUACAAAGCCGGUGUGUUUGACCCUAAAUCAAUCUUAUGCCGGAAUAUCCCUUUAAGGUUUCUUUUAAUCUAUCUUUGCCAUUUUUUAAAUGCAGCAUCCUGUAUGGUUUGUUUGUCAUCCAUUACCACCAGCUCAGGACUGUUUCAAGGUUGUCCUGACAUGUUGUCUACUUUUUUUCUAGAUCUUGUUGGUUUUAUGAGUUACCCUUUAUUGUCUGUUUUGUAUCUUUGUAAAGGGGGGUUAGAGAUGACUUAGAAACCCUUUAGCAUCAGUGUUUGCCACUUCAAACGGUUCAAAACAAGCACUAAAACGCCUGACUUUUAACUUAUCUUGUACUUAAAGGUUUAUUUUAUCACGUUGUAUUGUGUUAACAUUAAACUGGGGAAGCUGCAGGCGCGCAUAUUUUCUUCUCACAUAACUCGGUCUUUGUUAUCUAUGUCAUGGCGUCUUGAAGUGUGACAUCACGCAAGCAAAAUCCUACAACCAAUCAUUUUAAAAGUGCAGGGUAAUAAAGAUAUUAGCAUCUGGAGGCGAGCGUCUCUCCCUGCAGUCACUCCUUACUCUGUGAGUCAUUAGAGAGCGGGUCAGAUAAAACACCGAGCAUUCAGGAGAUCGAUAAGAGGACAAACCCGGAUCAGCUCAUCUUGAUGAAGCUGCAGAGCCACGUGUCUCAGCUCUUAUAGUGUGUUGACACAGAGCCGCAGGGCACUCAGAUAGGAUCAGACUAUAACCUGGAUCUUUUGAAGACCACCUUAAUUCUCUCGGUCCAUUCUUCUUCCUUCAUUCCUAUAGCAAAAGGGGCGCCUUUCUUCAGCCAGUGUCGGGUCGUAAAAGCGGCAAAUUCCCUGAUAAUUAUCACAGUAUGAGCUAAUGUGAAACAUGACAUUGAAUGUGGAUGUCAUUGUUGUCAUCUCUUUGUCUCUGAAGCUGUGUUUUCCUCCUCCUAUCUCCACCUCGUCCCUGUCCCUGUGUGUAAAUCAUCAAAGUGGUCUCUAUUUGUCUCUGGGUGGGCUCUGGGUGGGCUUUUAAGCGCGGCCCAUCAGUUAAGGCUUCAUUAAAGAGGGUCCUCCUGAUGCUGCUCAGAGGAGUCCAGCCCUCCUCCAGCCUUUUAGCAGACACUGAUUUACCGAGACUGUUGUUCUGUCUCUGAGGUAAAUGCACCACUCUGUUAUUGUUUGCCCGGCUGAUGUUUAUGUACAGUACAGCGUGGAACCCCCUUUUUGUUCUUCUACCACACACUACUCCUAAUCUCCAGUGUCAAGAUAUGGCUGAGGAGAUGCAGUGACUUCAGUAUUAUUUCCCAGAAGAGGCGAGUGGAAUCUCAGAAACCUGCCAGGGCGUCUUUUCCAAGAUUUUACAAAGAACUUUGUUCAAAUUUUUAUCAAAGAUAACUGAGAGCUCUCAGGUGAUAACACAACCUUUGGCAGCCAUGUUGGAAAGACUUUGGCAGCACAGGCUGCAGACAGCUGGCCCUGUCUGAAUGUGCUCGGCUUAAUGGACACUUUUUAUCAGACAAACUGAAUGAAGAGCUACCCAAACAUUAUUGAGAGGAAGGUUUGAAUCCUAGAUUUGGGUUUUAAUUUAACCAUCAUCUUAUCAGUUAAUGCAGCCAGACAUUUUGAGCAGACAUGAUGAGAGCCUACCUGGGCUGUCUCUGUGCUAAAACUACUGGCCUUUGGUUCCCAAUCGAGAAAAAACGACCUCUCAAUUGAAGAAAGUUAUGUAUCUUCUACGGUAUCUACAACAUUAAGAAUGUGAAGCUACUCCAACAAAUUCAAAAUUUUAAAUGCAAACAUUUGGACCACAUUUUGCGUGUUAGGCGAGUCACAACCUGAGCACCAAAUGCAGCUAGGGAGUAGCAAAAUGUGAUUCACCAUCCUAAUGGAGGAAUUUGGAAGCUGUGAUUGGCUAUUUGCCCUGUCAGUGUCCCAUACUAAACUUCAGAACAUUGGCCCCUCUACCCAAUUCGACCCACAUACAUGAAAAUCACUGGGCGUAUUAAUCAUGCAAGGACCUACAAAAAACCUUGAUGGACCCAACCUCUAAUCCCAGCAGGAAGUCCAGGAAUUCAGCUGAAUGUCUGAUUUCCCUGAUUUACGACAUGCACAUUUUAAAGGACCUGUUAAAGGGGUCUUGUCCUAUCGACUCCUAAAGUUCACGGUGUAUUGGAGACACACCGAAAAUUAAAAAUUCUUAUAGGAUUUUUAUAUGUUUAAAACUUUGAUGUCUUGUUGUGGAACAGGAAGUUAAUCUUACGUCCUUAAACAGUGUUUAAUCUGUUUGUUGUUUCAUUUACAUGAUAAAGGUCUAGCCCUGAACUCAUCCUAACCUAUCCUCAUCUAAUCUAAUUUAAUCUAAUGUAAUCUAAUCUAAUCUAACUUUACUUUACCUAAUCUAACCUAAGUAAUAAAAACAUUUAAGCAUAAAGUAAUCCUUACUUGCUUUUAAUUUCCUUGAGAGAACUUUCAUAAGGAUAAAGUUGUAUCUUAUUUGCUCUAACCUAACCUAACCUAACCUAACCUCAUCUAAUCUAAUCUGAUCUAAUUAAGUCUAUUCUAAUUUAUCUUUUCCUAAUCUAACCUAACCUAACCUCAUCUAAUCUAACCUCAUCCAAUCUAUCUAAUCUUAUUUUACCGAACCUAAACUAACCUUACCUAACCCAAACUAAUCUAACCUAACCUCAUCUAAUCCAAUCUAAUCUUACCUAACUUAACCUAACCUAACCUAACCUAACAUAACAUAACAUAACCUAACAUAAUCUAACCUCACCUAAUAUAAAAUAAGUAAUUAAAACUUUUGAUAAAGUUAUUUCUAAUCUGAUCUAACCAAACCUAACCUUAUCUAAUCUAAUCGAAUCUGAUCUAAUCUUACUUUCCCUAACCUAACCUUACCUUACCUGAUAUAACCUAACUUAACCUACGUAUUUAAAACAUUUAAGCGUAAAAAGUUGAUAAUUAUUAAAAAAUGGCAAAUAAAAAUGUAAUAAAAUGUGACUCAGAUUGUAGAUGAUGAUUGACGGCCCUGAUAGCAUCGAUGAGGGGAAGGGGGAGCUUGGAAACAUUUUUCAGAGGAAAAGUUUGGGAACCACUUGUGUGAGUUUUUGUUUCUAUCGCAGGGUUCAAAGGUUCAUAUUGAGUCUAUGCCUUUAUAUAGCAUGAUAAAACUCUGCAGUUUAAUAGCCCUUUUUCAGAAAACCUCCUAUCAUCUAAGAAAUAACGUGUCCAGAUCCUAUCACUCCUCAAAAUAUAGAAAAUGCAUGAAUGAAAUAAGUUCCUUUAUCUCACUUGAACCCGACCUGUUAGAUGUUAGUGCCUCAUAUCAGGUUUGAUGACAUAUUUUGACUGGAGUGUACAUGCUGCUGCCAGAUUUGGUUCAGUUUAUAGGUGAAUGCAACAGUUUGGCUGAUUUGAGUGCUUCAUUCAUCAUGAGUCAUCAGAUUUUUGGCUGCUUUAAUGUAAGAGCAGCCAAACCGAAAGCUAAAGCAGCGAAACAUCACUCUACCUGUGGAAGUAAUUUGUGUGGCAUGUGUAAACAGUGAAUCUUUUUGCUUUUGCAUGCCAGGCUCGCGUGCAGUCUGUAGCGCUUCGUAGAUUGAUAAUGUUGCUAAAGAGUCUCUUAUUUUAUUUGAGUAGGAACAUUUUCUUGGUCCCAAACUG